GAGCAAAUGCGUCGAAAAUGGCGAAAUUUUGCAUUGAAGGUUGGCAAAAUCGAAAAUAUUAGCAAUUCUCCGUGCCUAUCAAAUCUAUCUUUUGAAUACGGCCUCGAACAAGUUGCAACAUU